rnacentral:ncRNA from 2 species
GCUUGGCAGAAUCAGCGGG